rnacentral:rRNA from 1 species
AAUAAGAGGUCCAGCCUGCCCAGUGAAUUUUUAACGGCCGCGGUAUCCUAACCGCGCGAAGGUAGCAUAAUCACUUGUUCUUUAAAUGGGGACUCGUAUCAACGGCAUCACGAGGGUUAUACUGUCUCCUCUUUUUGAUCAGUGAAAUUGAUCUUCCCGUGAAGAAGCGGGAAUACUUAUAUAAGACGAGAAGACCCCAUGGAGCUUUAAACCAAAUAGCAACUUAACCAUAUAUUGCCCAAUAAUUUUAAGCCCUUGCUACAAGGUUUUUGGUUGGGGUGACCGCGGAGUAAAGCACAUCCUCCACGACGGAAAGACUAUAAUCUUUAUUUAAGAACUACAAUUCUAGAAAUUAGUAUACUAACGUUUACUGACCCGACAAUCGAUCAACGGAACAAGUUACCCUGGGGAUAACAGCGCAAUCUACUUCGAGAGCCCAUAUCGACAAGUAGGCUUACGACCUCGAUGUUGGAUCAGGGUAUCCCAGUGGUGCAGCCG